rnacentral:rRNA from 1 species
GAACGAGAAAGGGGAGCAAUCCCUGAGUAAAGUGGCGACCGGGUGAGUAACACGUGACCAACCUACCCUCGAGUGGGGAAUAACUCCGGGAAACCGGGGCUAAUACCGCAUAACAUCUCCGGCUCGGAAGAGCUGGCGAUCAAAGGAGCAAUUCGCUUGAGGAGGGGGUCGCGGCUGAUUAGCUAGUUGGCAGGGUAAUGGCCUACCAAGGCGAAGAUCGGUAGCCGGCCUGAGAGGGCGCACGGCCACACUGGAACUGAAACACGGUCCAGACUCCUACGGGAGGCAGCAGUGGGGAAUUUUGCGCAAUGGGGGAAACCCUGACGCAGCAACGCCGCGUGGAGGAUGAAGUCCCUUGGGACGUANACUCCUUUCGACCGGGACGAUAAUGACGGUACCGGUGGAAGAAGCACGGCUAACUCUGUG